CAUCAUGAUGAAUGGCACUGGGCUCCGACGGUUUCGUAUAACGAUCCGGUUCGUGAUGGAUAUGCCCUAUUGUGGCAGGCCUAGAAAACCUCGCCCACUGAUC
rnacentral:snoRNA from 1 species